UGUUGUGUGGUGGUUUGAGUGUUGGACUUGGACUCUAGAGGCCAGGGUUCAAAUCCCAGCUCAGCCA